rnacentral:rRNA from 1 species
UACGUAGGGCGCAAGCGUUAUCCGGAAUUAUUGGGCGUAAAGGGCGCGUAGGCGGAUGGCACAGUCAGAUGUGAAAUUCCCGGGCUUAACCUGGGGGCUGCAUUUGAUACGUGUUGUCUUGAGUUCGGAAGAGGGUCGUGGAAUUCCCAGUGUAGAGGUGAAAUUCGUAGAUAUUGGGAAGAACACCGGUGGCGAAGGCGGCGACCUGGUCCGACACUGACGCUGAGGCGCGAAAGCGUGGGGAGCAAACAGG